rnacentral:rRNA from 1 species
UACGUAGGGUGCGAGCGUUGUCCGGAAUUAUUGGGCGUAAAGAGCUCGUAGGCGGUUUGUUGCGUCUAUCGUGAAAACCUGCAGCUUAACUGUGGGCUUGCGGUGGAUACGGGCAGACUUGAGUUCGGUAGGGGAGACUGGAAUUCCUGGUGUAGCGGUGAAAUGCGCAGAUAUCAGGAGGAACACCGGUGGCGAAGGCGGUGGUCUGGGCCGGCACUGACGCUGAGGAGCGAAAGCGUGGGGAGCGAACAGG